UCCUACGGGGGGCAGCAGUGGGGAAUAUUGGGCAAUGGGCGCAAGCCUGACCCAGCAACGCCGCGUGAAGGAAGAAGGCUUUCGGGUUGUAAACUUCUUUUCUUGGGGACGAAGAAAGUGACGGUACCCAAGGAAUAAGCCCCGGCUAACUACGUGCCAGCAGCCGCGGUAAUACGUAGGGGGCAAGCGUUAUCCGGAUUUACUGGGUGUAAAGGGAGCGUAGGCGGUAAUGCAAGUCAGAAGUGAAAGCCCGGGGCUCAACUCCGGGACUGCUUUUGAAACUGUGUUACUAGAUUGCAGGAGAG
rnacentral:rRNA from 1 species